ensembl:misc_RNA Y_RNA Y RNA
GGCUGGUUUGAGUGCAGCGGUGUUUAGAACAAACUGAUCACAACCAAUUACAGAUUCCUUUGUUCCUUCUCCACUCCCACAGCUUCACUUGACUAGCCUAAA